rnacentral:misc_RNA from 1 species
CAAAAAAGACUAUGUAAUAAUACGAUCCGGUCCAACGAGACAUUUCGUCAAAUACUAGUGCUCGAUAGGCUGCUUGGGAUACGACAAGGAAUCUAGACGCUAUUUAUAUCAUCAAUUGCAUGUACAACAAUUGUUAGUGUUACGGUAGAGUGGAUUGUUGUAAUUUACACAUUACUGAUAAAGUGAUAUAGAAUUUCCUGAUUUUAUGUUUAAGCAAUUAAUGUUAUUAUUAAUUUAGAUUCAGGGAAGGUAAAUCCGUUGAGUUUCAACUUCGAACUUUGUGUUGGGUAUCAUUAUUAAUAUUAUACGAGAUGCCCUUAUACAUGUGAAAUUC